AUUUACAUGAUAUAUAAUAUACAUCAUAAUGACCAAAAAAUUACUUCAUCUUCCACUUCCUUUAGUGUGUGCGAUUCCUCUGUGUCUUAACAUCUAUAUAUUUUUGUCUGCAGAUUCUUUUACAGAGUUUUCAAAACCAGUGAUUGCAGUCCAGAAUAAAUCUGUUUCCCAGAAUGAACCCGAUGUGAUCUUUGACUUGAAGACAACUGGCCUUUACAUUCUAGCCCCCUCAUUUGUCUUUCUUCCCAUUUGCAUAUUUGCUGGAGUCAUCAUAUACAAGAAGUAUAACAGGUCUUCACCUGGUAAUCCACAAGAAUCACAGCCUAAACAAAGGUCAAAUGAUCUGUAUGCAUCAUCAGCAGACGAGACAAUUUUUUAAACCCGUAUACCAUCACCGAAGAGUUAGCGAAAAUCCUGCAUUAUUCAAUAUGGAAGAUCUCAAAAUUUAUGGAAAUGUCAAAUGAAAACGCUCCACAUCAUCCAACGUGCUCAAUACAGUGUUUUAAACAGAAAAAGUCAAACAUAUAUUGUAAUUAAUAUUAAAAACAUACAACUUUGUCUUGGAUAUGUCAAGGAAAUAAUAGCAUCAAUAUUUUAAUUCACAUAAUUCACAUUAACUUUUCAGGUUUUACAGUGUACUUAUAGUAACUUUGUCUGAUUUGUUAGGCAUCUGGAUCUCUCUUUGGCUUUUCAGCUUUAAUGAGCAAGUUGGCUAAUCAGACAAAUUUUCAUUUAAGUAUACAAUGUAUGCAUCAUUGUAAAUAAAAAAACAUUCUAAUGCUGUUGUACCUGAAAAUUAAAUAUAAAUAAAUCAUAAAAUUGAUGAUCAGACAUAAACCGUCUAUGUGUUUUGAACUUUAAGGCACCAGUGCAGAACAGGCGUAGCUCGUA